GGGUACAUGGUCUAGUGGUAUGAUUUUCGCUUCGCAUGGUUUCUCCUCCACAGGACAGCUGGCGCAUCUGUGAAAGGUCCCCGGUUCAAUCCCGGGUGUAUCCA